rnacentral:rRNA from 1 species
CUCAGUGAUAAAGGAGGUAGGGGUGCAGAGACAGCCAGGAGGUUUGCCUAGAAGCAGCCACCCUUGAAAGAGUGCGUAAUAGCUCACUGAUCGAGCGCUCUUGCGCCGAAGAUGAACUGAAUAGGUCAACUUUUUGAACUGCUGCUAAAUCCAUGGGCAGACAAGAGACGAACUGGCGAACUGAAACAUUUAGUAGCCGGAGGGAUAGAAAGUAAAAGCGAUUCUUGUAGUAGCGGUAAGUGAAAUGGGAGCAACCUAAAUCGCGAAAACAGGGUUGUGGGAGAGCAAUAAAAGCAUCCUGCUACUAGGCGAAGCACUGAAAUGUCAAAUGCUAGAUGGCCAUAGUCUAGUAGCCAAAAGCACCGCUAGUUUACGCUCUGACUCUAGUAGCAUGGGGCACGUGAAAUCCCGUGUGAAUCAGCAAGGACCACCUCGCAAGGCUAAAUACUCCUAGGUGACCGAUAGCAAAGUAGCACCGUAAGGGAAGGGUGAAAAGAACCUCGUCGGGGAGUGAAAUAGAACAUGAAAUCGUAAGCUCCCAAGUAGUGGGAGGAGCCCAGGGCUUUGACCGCGUGGCUGUUGAAGAAUGAGUCGGUGAAUCAUAGGCAGUGGCUUGGUUAAGGGAACCCACUGAAGCCUUAGCGAAAGUGAGUCUUCAUAGGGAAAUUGUCACUGCUUACAGACCCGAACCUGGGUGGCUAUCCAUGACCAGGUUGAAGUUUGGGUGAAACUAACUGAACGUCUGAACCGACUAAUGUUGAAGAAUCAGCGGAUAAGUUGUCGUUAAGGCUAAAAUGCCACUCGAACUCAAAGCUAGCUAGUUCUCCCCGAAAUGCAUGAGGCGUAGCAGUUGACUGGACAUCUAAGGGUAAAGCAUUGUUUUGGUGCGUGCCGCGAGAGUGGUACCAAAUUGAGGCAAACUCUAACUACUAGAUAUGACCUCAAAAUAACAGGGGUCGAGGUAAACCAGUGAGACAAUAGGUUAUAAGCUUCAUCAUCGAGAGGGAAACAACCUGGAUCACCAGCUAAGGCCCCUAAAUGAUCGCUUAGUGAUAAAGGAGGUAGGGUGUAGAGACAUCUAGGAGGUUUGCCUAGAAGCAGCCACCCUUGAAAGAGUGUGUAAUAGCUUACUGAUCAAGCGCUCUUGCGCUGAAGAUGAAUGGGGCUAAGCGAUCUGCCGAAGAUGUGGGAUGUAAAAAUACAUUGGUAGGGGAGCUUUCAGUCUUAGGGGGAAGCACCCGCGUGAGUGGGAGUAGAUGAAGCAAAAGCGAGAAUGUCGGCUUGUGUAACACAAACAUUGGUGGGAAUCGAAUGCCCUGAAAACCCAAGGGUUCCUCCGCAAGGUUCGUCCACAGAGGGUGAAUUAGGGCCUAAGAUCAGGCUGAAUGGCAUAGUCAAUGGAGAACAGGUGAAUAUUCCUAUACUACCCCUUGUUGGUCCUGAGAGACGGAGGAGGCUAAAUUAGCCAAAAGAUGGUUAUCGGUUCAAGGACGCAAGGUGCCCCUAUUUUUUCAGGCUAAGAAGGGGUUGAGAAAAUGCCCCGAGCCAAUGUUUGAGUACCAGGCACUACGACGUUGAAGUAACCCAUGCUAUACUCCCAAGAAAAGCUCGAAAGACCUUUAACAAAAGGAUACCUAAGGGCGCGAGACAACUCUCUCUAAGGAACUCGGGAAAAUAGCCCCAUAAGUUUAGGAGAACGGGUGCCUCCUCAAAAAGGGGGUCGUAGUGACCAGGCCCGGGUGGCUAUUUACCAAAAACAUAGGUCUCAGCAAAGUCGUAAGACCAUGUAUGGGGGAGCCAGCGAACGAAGCUCCAGUGAGCGGCAGUCGUAACUAGAACAGUCCUAAGGUAGCGAAAUUCCUUGUCGGGUUAGUUUCGACCCGUAUGAAAGGCGUAAUGAUCUGGGCACUGUCUCAGAGAGAGGCUCAGUGAAAUAGACAUGUCUGUGAAGAUGCAGACUACCCGCACCUGGAUAGAAAGACCCUAUGAAGCUUCACUAUUCCCUGGGAUUGGCUUUGGGCCUUUCUUUAGCAGCUUAGGUGGAAGGCAAAGAAGGCCUCCUUCCGUGGAGCCCGAGCCAUUAGUGAGAUACCACUCUGGAAGAGCUAGAAUUAUAACCUUGUGUCAGGACCUAUGGGCCAAGGGACAGUCUCAGGUAGACAGUUUCUAUGGGGCGUAGGCAUGUCAAAAGGUAGCGGAGGCGUGCAAAGGUUUCCUCGGGCGGAUGGAGAUUGGCCCUCGAGUGCAAAAGAAGGGAGCUUGACUGCAAGACCCACCGGUCGAACAGGGACGAAAGUUAACCUUAGUGAUCCGAUAGUGCCAAGUGGAAGGGCCGUCGCUCAACGAAUAAAAGUUACUCUAGGUAUAACAGGCUAAUCUUCCCUAAGAGCUCACAUCGACAAGAAGGUUUGGCACCUCGAUGUCGGCUCUUCACUACUUGGGGCUGUAGUAUGUUCCAAGGGUUGGGCUGUUUACCCAUUAAAGCCAUACGUGAGCUGGGUUCAGAACGUAGUGAGACAGUUCAGUCCAUAUCUAGUGUGGGUGUUAGAGCAUUGAGAGGACCUUUCCCUAGUAAGAAAGGACCAGGAAGGACGCACCUCUGGUGUACCAAUUAUCGUGCCCAUGAUAAAUGUUGGGCAGCAAAGUGCGGAGCGAGUAACUGCUGAAAGCAUCUAAGUAGUAAGUCCACCCCAAGUUGUGUGCUCUCCUAUUCCGAAUUCCCCAGAGCCUCUGGUAGCAUAGCCGAGAUGGCAAGGGGUUCUCUGUCCCUACGAGGAUCGAAUGACAAAAAUUUUGAGAAUUCAAAAGAAGGUCACAGCGAGACAAGUCGUUUAUCAUUACGAUAGGUGUCAAGUGGAACUGCAGUGAUGUAUUCAGCUGAGGCAUCCUAACAGACGGGGAGACUUGAAACU